UGGGUCCUAAUGUUAGGACCCGCCAUAGAACAGCUUUUUGGUCGCUCAUGCAACAUCUUGGUAUUGUAUAGUCUUUGUUAGUACGUUUGUGGGCGUAGCCACCAGCCAACAGGAAAAUACCUUUUCCGAUCAUUAUAACAACAGAGGUUGUUUUGUUCGAGAAUAAAAUGCAUAAAAUAAAAAUUAUAGGUCACGUUUGUGGGUUCCAUUCGGUGCAGAGGACUUGGAAGCUAA